rnacentral:rRNA from 1 species
GGGUUGUGAGGUUAAGCGACUAAGCGUACACGGUGGAUGCCCUGGCAGUCAGAGGCGAUGAAGGACGUGCUAAUCUGCGAAAAGCGCCGGCGAGGUGAUAUGAACCUUUGACCCGGCGAUGUCCGAAUGGGGAAACCCAGUGUGAUUCGUCACACUAUCGUUAACUGAAUACAUAGGUUAACGAGGCGAACCGGGGGAACUGAAACAUCUAAGUACCCCGAGGAAAAGAAAUCAACCGAGAUUCCCCCAGUAGCGGCGAGCGAACGGGGAGCAGCCCAGAGUCUGAAUCAGCUUGUGUGUUAGUGGAAGCGUCUGGAAAGUCGCACGGUACAGGGUGACAGUCCCGUACACGAAAAUGCACAGGUUGUGAACUCGAAGAGUAGGGCGGGACACGUGGUAUCCUGUCUGAAUAUGGGGGGACCAUCCUCCAAGGCUAAAUACUCCUGACUGACCGAUAGUGAACCAGUACCGUGAGGGAAAGGCGAAAAGAACCCCGGCGAGGGGAGUGAAAAAGAACCUGAAACCGUGUACGUACAAGCAGUGGGAGCACCUUCGUGGUGUGACUGCGUACCUUUUGUAUAAUGGGUCAGCGACUUAUAUUCUGUAGCAAGGUUAACCGUAUAGGGGAGCCGAAGGGAAACCGAGUCUUAACUGGGCGUUAAGUUGCAGGGUAUAGACCCGAAACCCGGUGAUCUAGCCAUGGGCAGGUUGAAGGUUGGGUAACACUAACUGGAGGACCGAACCGACUAAUGUUGAAAAAUUAGCGGAUGACUUGUGGCUGGGGGUGAAAGGCCAAUCAAACCGGGAGAUAGCUGGUUCUCCCCGAAAGCUAUUUAGGUAGCGCCUCGUGAACUCAUCUUCGGGGGUAGAGCACUGUUUCGGCUAGGGGGCCAUCCCGGCUUACCAACCCGAUGCAAACUACGAAUACCGAAGAAUGUUAUCACGGGAGACACACGGCGGGUGCUAACGUCCGUCGUGAAGAGGGAAACAACCCAGACCGCCAGCUAAGGUCCCAAAGUCAUGGUUAAGUGGGAAACGAUGUGGGAAGGCACAGACAGCCAGGAUGUUGGCUUAGAAGCAGCCAUCAUUUAAAGAAAGCGUAAUAGCUCACUGGUCGAGUCGGCCUGCGCGGAAGAUGUAACGGGGCUAAACCAUGCACCGAAGCUGCGGCAGCGACGCUUAUGCGUUGUUGGGUAGGGGAGCGUUCUGUAAGCCGUUGAAGGUGGCCUGUGAGGGUUGCUGGAGGUAUCAGAAGUGCGAAUGCUGACAUAAGUAACGAUAAAGCGGGUGAAAAGCCCGCUCGCCGGAAGACCAAGGGUUCCUGUCCAACGUUAAUCGGGGCAGGGUGAGUCGACCCCUAAGGCGAGGCCGAAAGGCGUAGUCGAUGGGAAACAGGUUAAUAUUCCUGUACUUGGUGUUACUGCGAAGGGGGGACGGAGAAGGCUAUGUUAGCCGGGCGACGGUUGUCCCGGUUUAAGCAUGUAGGCGGAACGAUUAGGUAAAUCCGGUCGUUUAUUAACGCUGAGGUGUGAUGACGAGGCACUACGGUGCUGAAGUAACAAAUGCCCUGCUUCCAGGAAAAGCCUCUAAGCAUCAGGUAACAUCAAAUCGUACCCCAAACCGACACAGGUGGUCAGGUAGAGAAUACCAAGGCGCUUGAGAGAACUCGGGUGAAGGAACUAGGCAAAAUGGUGCCGUAACUUCGGGAGAAGGCACGCUGAUAUGUAGGUGAAGCCCCUGCGGGUGGAGCUGAAAUCAGUCGAAGAUACCAGCUGGCUGCAACUGUUUAUUAAAAACACAGCACUGUGCAAACACGAAAGUGGACGUAUACGGUGUGACGCCUGCCCGGUGCCGGAAGGUUAAUUGAUGGGGUUAGCGGCAACGCGAAGCUCUUGAUCGAAGCCCCGGUAAACGGCGGCCGUAACUAUAACGGUCCUAAGGUAGCGAAAUUCCUUGUCGGGUAAGUUCCGACCUGCACGAAUGGCGUAAUGAUGGCCAGGCUGUCUCCACCCGAGACUCAGUGAAAUUGAACUCGCUGUGAAGAUGCAGUGUACCCGCGGCAAGACGGAAAGACCCCGUGAACCUUUACUAUAGCUUGACACUGAACACUGGUCCUUGAUGUGUAGGAUAGGUGGGAGGCUUUGAAGUGUGGACGCCAGUCUGCAUGGAGCCGUCCUUGAAAUACCACCCUUUAAUGGCUGGUGUUCUAACGUAGACCCGUAAUCCGGGUUGCGGACAGUGUCUGGUGGGUAGUUUGACUGGGGCGGUCUCCUCCCAAAGAGUAACGGAGGAGCACGAAGGUUAGCUAAUCCUGGUCGGACAUCAGGAGGUUAGUGCAAUGGCAUAAGCUAGCUUGACUGCGAGAGUGACGGCUCGAGCAGGUGCGAAAGCAGGUCAUAGUGAUCCGGUGGUUCUGAAUGGAAGGGCCAUCGCUCAACGGAUAAAAGGUACUCCGGGGAUAACAGGCUGAUACCGCCCAAGAGUUCAUAUCGACGGCGGUGUUUGGCACCUCGAUGUCGGCUCAUCACAUCCUGGGGCUGAAGUAGGUCCCAAGGGUAUGGCUGUUCGCCAUUUAAAGUGGUACGCGAGCUGGGUUUAGAACGUCGUGAGACAGUUCGGUCCCUAUCUGCCGUGGGCGCUGGAGAAUUGAGGGGGGCUGCUCCUAGUACGAGAGGACCGGAGUGGACGCAUCACUGGUGUUCGGGUUGUCAUGCCAAUGGCACUGCCCGGUAGCUAAAUGCGGAAAAGAUAAGUGCUGAAAGCAUCUAAGCACGAAACUUGCCCCGAGAUGAGUUCUCCCUGAGACUUUAAGUCUCCUGAAGGAACGUUGAAGACGACGACGUUGAUAGGUCGGGUGUGUAAGCGCAGCGAUGCGUUGAGCUAACCGAUACUAAUGAACCGUGAGGCUUAACCUUACAACGCCGAAGGUGUUU